UUUAUUGUUAUUAAACUGUCUUCAUCUCAACCCACAGGUUUUCUCAUUUUUACUCUUCUUAUUCUCUUCUCCAUCCUGCACUGGGCAGAGUGAGUGAACAACUGCAUGGUGCUUAGUUGCUGUCUGGGGUUAAACAUUGAAUGGCAAGAAUUUGGAUCACCUUGGCACAACUAUCUAGUAACCAAAAGAGCUAUGGAUGUUCUCAUCAGUUAGAUCUCAAUUUCCUCAGUGGACCAGGGAAAGAACUAAGAUGGGACAAAUCAUUCUUUAGUGCCUAAGAAAGGAAUUUAAGAAGAGGAAUGUACUUCCCUCUGAAAGCAUUGUUUUGUGUCUGCUAAGACAGGAGGUACUCUAUACUAGAGAAGUGGCCAAACUUCUUUAAAAGUUAAAAAAAA